rnacentral:rRNA from 1 species
AUUGAACGCUGGCGGCAGGCCUAACACAUGCAAGUCGAGCGGAUGAAGGGUGCUUGCUCCUGGAUUCAGCGGCCGACGGGCGGGCAAUGCCUAGGAAUCUGCCUGGUUGUGGGGGAUAACGUCCGGAAACGGGCGCUCAUACCGCAUACGUCCUGAGGGAGUACGUGGGGGAUCUUCGGACCUCACGCUCUCAGAUGAGCCUAGGUCGGAUUAGCUAGUUGGUGGGGUAAAGGCCUACCAAGGCGACGAUCCGUAACUGGUCUGAGAGGAUGAUCAGUCACACUGGAACUGAGACACGGUCCAGACUCCUACGGGAGGCAGCAGUGGGGAAUAUUGGACAAUGGGCGAAAGCCUGAUCCAGCCAUGCCGCGUGUGUGAAGAAGGUCUUCGGAUUGUAAAGCACUUUAAGUUGGGAGGAAGGGCAGUAAGUUAAUACCUUGCUGUUUUGACGUUACCAACAGAAUAAGCACCGGCUAACUUCGUG